rnacentral:rRNA from 1 species
GACGAACGCUGGCGGCGUGCCUAAUACAUGCAAGUAGAACGCUGAAGAGAGGAGCUUACUCUUCUUGGAUGAGUUGCGAACGGGUGAGUAACGCGUAGGUAACCUGCCUUGUAGCGGGGGAUAACUAUUGGAAACGAUAGCUAAUACCGCAUAACAAUGGAUGACACAUGUCAUUUAUUUGAAAGGGGCAAUUGCUCCACUACAAGAUGGACCUGCGUUGUAUUAGCUAGUAGGUGAGGUAAUGGCUCACCUAGGCGACGAUACAUAGCCGACCUGAGAGGGUGAUCGGCCACACUGGGACUGAGACACGGCCCAGACUCCUACGGGAGGCAGCAGUAGGGAAUCUUCGGCAAUGGGGGCAACCCUGACCGAGCACGCCGCGUGAGUGAAGAAGGUUUUCGGAUCGUAAAGCUCUGUUGUAAGUCAAGAACGGGUGUGAGAGUGGAAAGUUCACACUGUGACGGUAGCUUACCAGAAAGGGACGGCUAACUACGUG